rnacentral:rRNA from 1 species
AUUGAACGCUGGCGGUAGGCUUAACACAUGCCAGUCGAGAGAGAGGCGGACGGGUGAGUAAUGUCUGGGAAACUGCCCGGUGGCGGGGGAUAACUACUGGAAACGGUAGCUAAUACCGCAUACCAUCAGAUGUGCCCAAAAGGGAUUAGCUAGUAGGUGGGGUAAUGGCGCACAAAGGCAACGAUCCCUAGCUGGUCUGAGAGGAUGACCAGCCACAAUGGAACGGAGACACGGUCCAGACUCCUACGUGAGGCAGCAGUGGGCAAUAUUGCACAAUGGUCGCAAGCCUGAUGCAGCCAUGCCGCGGGUAUGAUGAAGGCCUGCGGGUUGUAAAGCACUUUCAGCGGGGAGGCGUUACCCGCAGAAGAAGCACCGGCUAACUCCGUGCCAGCAGCCGCGGUAAUAC